UUUUAUGAGAGUUUGAUCCUGGCUCAGGACGAACGCUGGCGGCGUGCCUAAUACAUGCAAGUCGAACGCUUCUUUUUCCACCGGAGCUUGCUCCACCGGAAAAAGAGGAGUGGCGAACGGGUGAGUAACACGUGGGUAACCUGCCCAUCAGAAGGGGAUAACACUUGGAAACAGGUGCUAAUACCGUAUAACAAUCGAAACCGCAUGGUUUUGAUUUGAAAGGCGCUUUCGGGUGUCGCUGAUGGAUGGACCCGCGGUGCAUUAGCUAGUUGGUGAGGUAACGGCUCACCAAGGCCACGAUGCAUAGCCGACCUGAGAGGGUGAUCGGCCACAUUGGGACUGAGACACGGCCCAAACUCCUACGGGAGGCAGCAGUAGGGAAUCUUCGGCAAUGGACGAAAGUCUGACCGAGCAACGCCGCGUGAGUGAAGAAGGUUUUCGGAUCGUAAAACUCUGUUGUUAGAGAAGAACAAGGAUGAGAGUAACUGUUCAUCCCUUGACGGUAUCUAACCAGAAAGCCACGGCUAACUACGUGCCAGCAGCCGCGGUAAUACGUAGGUGGCAAGCGUUGUCCGGAUUUAUUGGGCGUAAAGCGAGCGCA
rnacentral:rRNA from 1 species